rnacentral:siRNA from 1 species
ACUGCUAACAUUGGUGGCCUA